rnacentral:rRNA from 1 species
CCUACGGGAAGCAGCAGUAGGGAAUCAUCCGCAAUGGGCGAAAGCCUGACGGUGCAACGCCGCGUGAACGAUGACGGCCUUCGGAUUGUAAAGUUCUGUUGUUAGGGAAGAAACCGUACCGAUCGAAUAGGUCGGUACCUUGACGGUACCUAACCAGAAAGCCCCGGCUAACUACGUGCCAGCAGCCGCGGUAAUACGUAGGGGGCAAGCGUUGUCCGGAAUUAUUGGGCGUAAAGCGCGCGCAGGCGGUCUCUUAAGUCUGAUGUGAAAGCCCACGGCUCAACCGUGGAGGGUCAUUGGAAACUGGGAGACUUGAGUGUAGAAGAGGAAAGUGGAAUUCCACGUGUAGCGGUGAAAUGCGUAGAUAUGUGGAGGAACACCAGUGGCGAAGGCGACUUUCUGGCCUGCAACUGACGCUGAGGCGCGAAAGCGUGGGGAGCAAACAGGAUUAGAUACCCUGGUAGUCCACGCCGUAAACGAUGAGUGCUAGGUGUUAGGGGUUUCGAUGCCCUUAGUGCCGAAGUUAACACAUUAAGCACUCCGCCUGGGGAGUACGGCCGCAAGACUGAAACUCAAAGGAAAUUGACGGA